rnacentral:rRNA from 1 species
GCGAACGGGUGAGUAACACGUGAGCAACCUGCCCCUGACUCUGGGAUAAGCGCUGGAAACGGCGUCUAAUACUGGAUACGAACCACGAAGGCAUCUUCAGUGGUUGGAAAGAAUUUCGGUUGGGGAUGGGCUCGCGGCCUAUCAGCUUGUUGGUGAGGUAAUGGCUCACCAAGGCGUCGACGGGUAGCCGGCCUGAGAGGGUGACCGGCCACACUGGGACUGAGACACGGCCCAGACUCCUACGGGAGGCAGCAGUGGGGAAUAUUGCACAAUGGGCGAAAGCCUGAUGCAGCAACGCCGCGUGAGGGAUGACGGCCUUCGGGUUGUAAACCUCUUUUAGCAGGGAAGAAGCGAAAGUGACGGUACCUGCAGAAAAAGCGCCGGCUAACUACGUGCCAGCAGCCGCGGUAAUACGUAGGGCGCAAGCGUUAUCCGGAAUUAUUGGGCGUAAAGAGCUCGUAGGCGGUUUGUCGCGUCUGCUGUGAAAUCCGGAGGCUCAACCUCCGGCCUGCAGUGGGUACGGGCAGACUAGAGUGCGGUAGGGGAGAUUGGAAUUCCUGGUGUAGCGGUGGAAUGCGCAGAUAUCAGGAGGAACACCGAUGGCGAAGGCAGAUCUCUGGGCCGUAACUGACGCUGAGGAGCGAAAGGGUGGGGAGCAAACAGGCUUAGAUACCCUGGUAGUCCACCCCGUAAACGUUGG